UAGUAUCAUCCUAAAACAAUA
rnacentral:piRNA from 1 species